AUCUACAUAGCUCAAUCUGGCAGAGCGUCGUUCUCCAAAAGCGAAGGUUGUUGGUUCGAGGCCAACUGUGGGUG
rnacentral:tRNA from 1 species